GUGCUCACUUUGGCGGCACAUAUACUAAAAUUGGAACAAUACAGAGAAGAUUAGCAUGGCCCCCGUGCAAGGAUGACAUACACAUUUGUGAAAAGUUCCAUAUUUUA